GGCGGUCCUGGGGUGAUGCACCCUGGAAUUGAGCUCCCUCCUCUCUGGUUCUGGGUGUGUCACCUGAGAACCCCA
rfam:Myotis davidii contig190590, whole genome shotgun sequence.